CAGGCUUAACACAUGCAAGUCGAGGGGCAGCAUGGUCUUAGCUUGCUAAGGCCGAUGGCGACCGGCGCACGGGUGAGUAACGCGUAUCCAACCUGCCUUACACUCUUGGACAGCCUUCUGAAAGGGAGAUUAAUACAAGAUGUUAUCAUGAGUAAGCAUUUUCGCAUGAUUAAAGGUUUACCGGUGUAAGAUGGGGAUGCGUUCCAUUAGAUAGUAGGCGGGGUAACGGCCCACCUAGUCUUCGAUGGAUAGGGGUUCUGAGAGGAAGGUCCCCCACAUUGGAACUGAGACACGGUCCAAACUCCUACGGGAGGCAGCAGUGAGGAAUAUUGGUCAAUGGACGAGAGUCUGAACCAGCCAAGUAGCGUGAAGGAUGAAGGUUCUAUGGAUUGUAAACUUCUUUUAUACGGGAAUAAACGGAUCCACGUGUGGAUUUUUGCAUGUACCGUAUGAAUAAGGAUCGGCUAACUCCGUGCCAGCAGCCGCGGUAAUACGGAGGAUCCGAGCGUUAUCCGGAUUUAUUGGGUUUAAAGGGAGCGUAGAUGGGUUGUUAAGUCAGUUGUGAAAGUUUGCGGCUCAACCGUAAAAUUGCAAUUGAUACUGGCAGUCUUGAGUACAGUUGAGGUAGGCGGAAUUCGUGGUGUAGCGGUGAAAUGCUUAGAUAUCACGAAGAACUCCGAUUGCGAAGGCAGCUUACUAACCUGUAACUGACAUUGAUGCUCGAAAGUGUGGGUAUCAAACAGGAUUAGAUACCCUGGUAGUCCACACGGUAAACGAUGAAUACUCGCUGUAGGCGAUAUACAGUCUGCGGCCAAGCGAAAGCAUUAAGUAUUCCACCUGGGGAGUACGCCGGCAACGGUGAAACUCAAAGGAAUUGACGGGGGCCCGCACAAGCGGAGGAACAUGUGGUUUAAUUCGAUGAUACGCGAGGAACCUUACCCGGGCUUAAAUUGCAACCGAAUAUGGCGGAAACGCUAUAGCUAGCAAUAGCGGUUGUGAAGGUGCUGCAUGGUUGUCGUCAGCUCGUGCCGUGAGGUGUCGGCUUAAGUGCCAUAACGAGCGCAACCCUUGCCGAUAGUUACUAACAGGUUAUGCUGAGGACUCUGUCGGGACUGCCAUCGUAAGAUGUGAGGAAGGUGGGGAUGACGUCAAAUCAGCACGGCCCUUACGUCCGGGGCUACACACGUGUUACAAUGGGGGGUACAGAGGGCUGCUACCACGCAAGUGGAUGCCAAUCCCAAAAACCUCUCUCAGUUCGGAUUGAAGUCUGCAACCCGACUUCAUGAAGCUGGAUUCGCUAGUAAUCGCGCAUCAGCCACGGCGCGGUGAAUACGUUCCCGGGCCUUGUACACACCGCCCGUCAAGCCAUGGGAGCCGGGGGUACCUGAAGUGCGUAACCGCAAGGAGCGCCCUAGGGUAAAACUGGUGACUGGGGCUAAG
rnacentral:rRNA from 1 species